UCCAUUCCCGCGGGUACCCGGGGGGCGGGGGCUGCUGCUUCGCAGACCACAUUUCAGCAGCCAUGGAGUGGUGUCUCCGUGGCUGUGGUUGGAGCGGGUUCCUCAGCACCUCCCGGGGUUUCUGACUGCGGAUCUGAGUAUGGAGACAGCAACUUCUUGAUGAAAACGAGACCAGGAGUUGUGCGUGCACAGUCCCUGCCCUACAGUGGCAUGAGGAUUCCAUGGAAACUGGCUUUUGAAUUCAGUUUUGCUCCGAGACUAGUGAUCUGCAUUAAGGUCUUCUCAGGUGAUGCUCGGCAGCCUUGUGCUCACCACUGACCCUCUGUGCUGUGUACUGUGUGUGUAGCCAGCGAGCCUUCCAUACUGUGUUUCUGAAUCCUGCCCAGCCGCGUCUCUAGUGUUCUAGGGCUGAGCAGAGCAAGAAAACCGUGGAGUGGAUUGAAAGGAAAGUCACAGAUUUGACUGAAAUUGGAAAAUAAAGUGUAUAUGGGAAGGUCAAACACACGGGGAUUACUCUGAAGCCUGGAUGGGGUGGACAUUGAAUGCAGCGGUUAAGAUUCUGCUGUUGCAGACCCUGGAAAACAGCAGGAAGGAAGAGAACAAGAAGAAACAGACUUACUGACCACGGGAGCGGGAGAAAGAAGUUAGUUACAAGAACGAGUUUCUGGAAUCAAGAGUGUAUAACAUCAUGGAGGAAGCUGCCAAGUUUUUAUUAAUAUUUGAAUAAAUUAGGCAAGCCCUCAGCAUGUCCAGAUUGAA